CCCCCCACCACGUCAACCCAGGCUGUUGGUUUUAUCCUAAUCACUACACCUAUGUGACAGAUCCAUAUGACAGAAGAGGUCAUAAAAGUUGGGCUUUAUCGGUAUCGGACCGACGGGAUCGUGGUUGAUGUAGCAGCCCAGUGAUCCAGGUGGAGUUCAACCUACAGGCGGAGACUGGGCGACUCUCCCAGUUUCGAGCAGACGUGCUUGCGAGCCAGAAGACGUCCAGCAGCACAGGAAGAAGUCCAUGCAGGGGAAGAUAAGGGGACACCAGCUGCCAGAAGUUCUCCUCUGCAUCCUCACAGACAAUGGGCCUCCUGGUCAUCUACAUCCUGACUAAAUAGAAAGCCUUUGUGGAGGAGCCAAGUGGUCCAGCCGCAGACAGAAGGUGGGCUCAUCGCAUGCAUCUGAGGUUGUCAGCCCGGCAGGGGAGGGAGGCGCUCCUGGCAGGCCAAGACAAGGAGAAAACAAACAUGGUGCACGAAACAAGACAGUGACAACAGAUCCCCGCUGAUAAAUACAGUUAUACAGUGAAUCAAGCCUGAUUUAUCCUCUCCACAGGAUGAAUGAGAAAUAAUUUAGCUGAUUGGUGCAAGAAUGUCAUAAUUUCACUGCAUAUGACACCAGGACUUUGCAUAGAAAAUCAAUUAAACAUAAGUAAAAUAGCUGUCAGUCAGCCAGCAUUGAAUGACUAGACUAGAUUGGUAGUACACAUGCAUACUGAAUGUACACAUAUACACAUGAUACUUUGUCGUGUAGCAUAAAUAUAUUGUCAUUUUAUCCAUGAAUGUCAUGGAAACAGUUUUCACUUUUAAGAGAACAUCCAGUUUAAAUAAAGGUCAGCUUUUAAAGUUAUUAUUAUUUUAAUUAAAGAGAGAAAAAACUUUAAGGUUUUCAUUGUGCAUGAAACAAAUACAAGUAAAUGCAGCCUCCAAACUAUCAUAAACAUAACAAUCUUACUUUUACAUGAGUGGGAUAUGCGGGGACUUAUAGUUACUACUUCUUUCACCGCAGCACCAUCAAAUAAAGCCAAUAAGUGGGACUAUGGCGCCACCUAUGGAGACAAUGAAGCCCCACUAAUCCCUGAAAUACUUCCAGUACCAAAGUGGGACCUCAGGUUAAGGAGUCAGCUGACAAUAAGGAAUGGUUUAAUUCAGCUACUACAACCAGUUCACUGUUUAUUAUUUACUGAAAAGCACAUAUGGCUGACUGCACUGACCACAAGUUUCACUUCCUCCCAGUUCCACCUCCUGUUGUGACCUUCACAAUUUAUUUAUAUGAUGCUGAUAGUCUCACUAUUACUAUGGCGUGCUCCCUUGGCCACCAGAUUUCCUGAUUAUACACUGAAGCAAGAAGUACAAUAUUUUUCUUAAAAUGAGAAAAUGGAAACACUGAAGUACUAGUGCUACAAAUUUCUAUUUUACUUGAUGUUACAGCUUGUAAAAUGCUUUUUGUAGCAGCAAAGAGUCUUUUACUCUUGAUGCAGAAAUUUUCAUUAAUUCUUAUUGUUGAUAACUUCAAGUAUCUGAGAUGUUUACACACUGUUUUGCACACACAGCAUGUUUAAGAUCUACCUACGGAUGUUCAGGUCACAGGACUGUGAGGGCCAUUUCAAAAGAUUCAGACUGUGUCUCCUGAAGUUGGUCAUGGUUGACUUUGAGGUCUUCUGAUCAUUGUCGCUGAGAACAGCCUCUUUUCAGUGUCACUUUCUUGAAUGACUGCAAGACAUUGUCAUCCAGAAUUUGCUGAUUUUACGAGAAUUCAUUCUUCCCUCUGUCUGUGCAAUGUCUCCUGCGCCACUGGCUGCCACACAACCCCAAAGAAAAAUAUCUCCAUCCAGCUUAACAGUUGGCAAAGAGAACUAAAUUAGUCAGGUUCCCUUUUGCACAUGCCACGAUUACCAUUUAAUUCCUUUUUUUUUUAUGUUGAUGUAAUCAAAAGUAACACUGCAUUAACAUUUGAGGAAAGGCUUUUAUAUUAUGAUAUGUACUUUGUGUGCAAC